UACGUAGGGGGCUAGCGUUGUCCGGAAUCAUUGGGCGUAAAGAGCGUGUAGGCGGCUCGGUAAGUCGGAUGUGAAACCUCCAGGCUCAACCUGGAGACGCCAUCUGAUACUGCCGUGGCUUGAGUCCGGUAGAGGAGCAGGGAAUUCCUGGUGUAGCGGUGAAAUGCGCAGAUAUCAGGAGGAACACCAGCGGCGAAGGCGCUGCUCUGGGCCGGUACUGACGCUGAGGAGCGAAAGCGUGGGGAGCGAACAGG
rnacentral:rRNA from 1 species